GGAAGUUGACAUGUCAUCACUUCAUUUUUUUGCGCCUGCGCAUAAAUCUGAGAAGCGUGAGUUUGUCAUCAUUGUUUAUCUAGACAUAGGAUAGGUUGUGUGAAAAUAUUACUGAUGUUUAACGUUAAAAAUGGACCAAAAGAUUAAUGCUAAACAACAUUUGACAUGUUUGAACGAACGUAAAUAGAUUAUUUACUAGGUUUUUUUUGCUUUUCGGUGUGAUUUUACACCCCCCCCACCACGUUUUGUGGGAGCAUAAUGAACGCUAAGUACUUGGUGUUAUUUGGACAUAAAUUAUGAACUUUGUCAAAAGAAACCACAUUUGUUCCGGACCUGGGAUUCCUGGCAGUGCCUUCUGAUGGAGAUAAUCAAAGAUGGCCUGCCCAUGGAACUGUAUGUGCAAGAUUGAGAACAAGUGGUCUACAUGUAGAUGGCACCAUUAACUUCCUGCUAUCUGCUUCUGACCCAAGGUACCAAGCCCGACUCUUCCCCACUCUGUCUAUUCUGAACACCAUCCCCCUCUCUGGGCACAUAACAGUAACCUGAGAGCUUGGAUUUACGUAGUGGAGACAUUGAAGCUUUGUGCCCCUGCUGUCGGCAAUAAAAACAGGUCAGACCCCUCCCAUCAGAGCGAACUGCAUGAUCCC
rnacentral:lncRNA from 1 species